rnacentral:misc_RNA from 1 species
AAGUCGUAACAAGGUUUCCGUAGGUGAACCUGCGGAAGGAUCAUUAACACUUUUUAUUAUUUUGUUUUUUUUCUAAAACAAAAUUUAAAACCCCACAAUUUUGGAUGAAUUUAAUUAAUUUAUUUUUUAUUUUAUUUUUUUUUUAUUAUAACCCUAUUAUUUUGACUAACAUUUUUAUUUAAUUAUUAAAAAAUUAAAAAAACAACUCUUAACAACGGAUAUCUUGGCUCUC